rnacentral:lncRNA from 10 species
GGGAAGUAUGGCGGCCGCUCGAACGCCGCGCGGCGGAGGCCAUUAAGGCGUGGACGGCCCGGAAGGCGGCCUAGGGACGCAAGCAGGCUUGGCCGCCUCUUUCGGCCACGGAGCCGCGCAGAUCCGGUUCCCGGGUGACCACUCUGUCGCCAUUGGGCGAGACCUACCUAGUCCUGACGACAACGGACAAAGGCCUUAAGGGGCCUGAAAGCAACCUCCAGUCCUGCAAGCUUCAUUCCUGAAUGGUAGAAAGCAGUCUUCAGCCUGAGACCCAUCCCUAGACUCUAUGGCACAAAGAGGCACUACAGAAAAUCCCAGAAUUUAUUCUGACUGAAGCAAUAUGCAACUGGCAAAACUGGCAGCUGAAAGGAUCCUGAAUAAGAAGAACUCCUCAAUUUGAAUCCAGGCUCUAUGCCAGGUAUUGGAAUACAAUAAGGAGCAAGACAGAAGAAUUUACCCGGUAGCAGGGAUUUUAAAUGCCGUUUUGGCACAGGAUGUCAGAGCACAAGCAUGGUGAAGAGGAAUCUGUGUCAGGAAGAAGGUGGAAGAGAUAUGACAUUGGUCAAACAGAGAAUUGAUAAAAUAAGAAAACAAGUUGAAAAACUAAAACAAAACCAUUCCAGGAAAGAAAUCGUAAAGUUUACUUUAUCAGGACACAGAACUUAACUUGACAACCAGAGUCUUACAUUUAAAAAUACCUGAAUAAAACUCACUCACUAACUCAGAAGAAAUUUGAAAGACUAUGAAAAUCUUUGAAUACAAUGUAGAAGUUUUUAUUCCAAAACAGUGAAAAGGAGAGAGAGUAGAAGAGGAGAGAAGAGAGGAAGGAAGAAAAGGAGAGAAGAUGAGAAAAAAAAGCAAGUAGUGUCUUAAAUGGGAGAAAA